rnacentral:lncRNA from 1 species
ACUUUUUCACCACUUCCUAAUACCGUGGUUGCUGAAAGUCAUUUCCUGGGGGAUGGAAGAACAGGACUCUAGGACAGAAAAGAGAGAUACUUGAGGAAAUCUUCAUUAAAUUGGAUGGAUGAUUUAAAACAUGUUGCAAUUCCAAAUGGCAGCAACGUUGGAAGGAAAGAACCAAAGAGUGGAGGAUGUUUGGGGUCAAGAACCUG